rnacentral:tRNA from 1 species
UAUAAAGUAUUUAACUUUUAUUAGAA